AUUGAACGCUGGCGGCAUGCUUUACACAUGCAAGUCGAACGGCAGCACGGGGGCUUGCUCCUGGUGGCGAGUGGCGAACGGGUGAGUAAUGCAUCGGAACGUACCCAGUAGUGGGGGAUAGCCCGGCGAAAGCCGGAUUAAUACCGCAUAUUUCCUGAGGGAGAAAGCGGGGGACCUUCGGGCCUCGCGCUACUGGAGCGGCUGAUGUCGGAUUAGCUAGUUGGUGAGGUAAAGGCUCACCAAGGCGACGAUCCGUAGCUGGUCUGAGAGGAUGAUCAGCCACACUGGGACUGAGACACGGCCCAGACUCCUACGGGAGGCAGCAGUGGGGAAUUUUGGACAAUGGGGGCAACCCUGAUCCAGCCAUGCCGCGUGAGUGAAGAA
rnacentral:rRNA from 1 species